rnacentral:rRNA from 1 species
CAGCUAGUUGGUGAGGUAAUGGCUCACCAAGGCGUCGACGGGUAGCCGGCCUGAGAGGGUGACCGGCCACACUGGGACUGAGACACGGCCCAGACUCCUACGGGAGGCAGCAGUGGGGAAUAUUGCACAAUGGGCGCAAGCCUGAUGCAGCAACGCCGCGUGAGGGACGACGGCCUUCGGGUUGUAAACCUCUUUUAGCAAGGAAGAAGCGAAAGUGACGGUACUUGCAGAAAAAGCACCGGCUAACUACGUGCCAGCAGCCGCGGUAAUACGUAGGGUGCAAGCGUUAUCCGGAAUUAUUGGGCGUAAAGAGCUCGUAGGCGGUUUGUCGCGUCUGCUGUGAAAUCUGGGGGCUCAACCCCCAGCCUGCAGUGGGUACGGGCAGACUAGAGUGCGGUAGGGGAGAUUGGAAUUCCUGGUGUAGCGGUGGAAUGCGCAGAUAUCAGGAGGAACACCGAUGGCGAAGGCAGAUCUCUGGGCCGUAACUGACGCUGAGGAGCGAAAGGGUGGGGAGCAAACAGGCUUAGAUACCCUGGUAGUCCACCCCGU